AUCACGUUGAAACACCGGUUUUCGUACGAUAAUCGAAGUUAAGCAAUAUCGAGCCUGACCAAUACCUAGAUGGGUAACCACUUGGGAAUACCAGGAGAUGUAA